UACGAAGGGGGCUAGCGUUGCUCGGAAUGACUGGGCGUAAAGGGCGCGUAGGCGGUUCAUACAGUCAGAUGUGAAAUUCCCGGGCUUAACCUGGGGGGCUGCAUUUGAUACGUGUGGGCUUGAGUGAGGAAGAGGGUUGUGGAAAUUCCCAGUGUAGAGGUGAAAAUUCGUAGAUAUUGGGAAGAACACCGGUGGCGAAGGCGGCGACCUGGUCCGAUACUGACGCUGAACGGCGAAAGCUAGGGGAGCAAAACGGG
rnacentral:rRNA from 1 species